rnacentral:siRNA from 1 species
CUGUGUCGUAUUUUGUGACCCAUC